rnacentral:rRNA from 1 species
GAUGAACGCUGGCGGCGUGCCUAACACAUGCAAGUCGAGCGAUGAAGUUUCCUUCGGGAAACGGAUUAGCGGCGGACGGGUGAGUAACACGUGGGUAACCUGCCUCAUAAUGGGGGAUAGCCUUUCGAAAGGAAGAUUAAUACCGCAUAACAUCAUUAAAUGGCAUCAUUUAAUGAUCAAAGGAUUUAUUCGUUAUGAGAUGGACCCGCGUCGCAUUAGCUAGUUGGUAAGGUAAUGGCUUACCAAGGCGACGAUGCGUAGCCGACCUGAGAGGGUGAUCGGCCACAUUGGGACUGAGACACGGCCCAGACUCCUACGGGAGGCAGCAGUGGGGAAUAUUGCACAAUGGGGGAAACCCUGAUGCAGCAACGCCGCGUGAGUGAUGACGGUCUUCGGAUUGUAAAGCUCUGUCUUUGGGGACGAUAAUGACGGUACCCAAGGAGGAAGCCACGGCUAACUACGUGCCAGCCGCCGCGGUAA